GAAAAGGAUUGAAAUCGAUUUUUAUUGACCAAUCAGAAUUCUCUCCCAGGGUCUAUAAUUGCCUCAAAAUGUCGAAUAGUCUAAUAGAUCUUUUAAAGAAUUGAUUAAUAGGACGAGAAUAAAGAUAGAGUCCCAUUCUACAUGUCAAUACCAA
rnacentral:sRNA from 1 species